UGGUGACUCACGGCGCCGCGCCGGGCCCCGGUUGGCUCGCCAGCGCCGCCCGCCCCCGCUUCCUCCUCCGCGGCACCUGCGGCCGCCUCGGCGCACCCGCACACCGGCUCGGAUCGGCGCGAGUGAACCCUUUUUGAAUCAUAUCCAGUUGUGUCAUGGUUCCACUACAGCCAAACCGCACCACUGCAUUAAUGACUUUGGAGUGGAUUAUCUCACACUGUCGUGUAAUGAAUGAUCGUCCAGGCCAUCCAAAUGGGCAAAUGGUUGUUGUUGCAGAGACUUGUUAAAAAAGGGCAAGAUUUAAUUUCUUGUAAAUGGAGUACACCUGGAAAUGGUAUUCCUGAUACGUGUGUAAAUGCAAAGAGAGCAAUUCCUUGUGUUUGCUUCCCUACAGCCCUCCUUCCUCAUGGCCUCUGCUCUGCUUUCUCAUUCUGCAUUUGAUGUUGCAUUGGCUUCUACAGCCACAUCCUUGCAAACAUAUGCUGCUUCAAACAAAGAAAAUUGGUUAUGUACAAGUGCAUUGACUGGGGUCCUCAGGAAGAUGGCUUAAUGUAAGUGGUACACUGAAAACAUAGAUCUCCUUGCAGAACUUCUGUGUGACAAAUUGCUUUCAGUCGGGUGCUCACUGUUGCAUGGUCUGCUCUGCUCUGGACUGAAUUUCCAUUUCAAAAAUGGCCUGUUACCAUUACGGAAAUAUUUCAUGAGCUGAGUGCAGCAACACACAGCAAGACCCCAGUUUCACAGCAGCACACAGUUGGACAUAACUUAGUAUAUGCUAGUAGUUGAUGGUUUUCCUUGUUUGUCUAUGGGAGAUAUAGAUUCACUGGAGGGGAGAAAAGUGUGCCCUGCAUUAUCCAUCCCUUUCCAUACCUAACCAUUUGAACUUCUAAAGCAGAAAUUCUUGUAAAUACUUUUUUUUUUUAAUGUUUCAAGUAAGUUAAAAUGCAGCUGGGUGUGCUUGAGUCUGAUCAUCUGGUGUUAUCUCCAGAAGAGGAGCUUGGACAGAAGAGAUCUCUUCCCUCCUUAGCACCUUUACAGGAUCCCUGCCUGUUUAAGGAAAGGCACGGAGCCAGCCACCCAUUAUAUGGUGAUCUCUGUGCCCUGGAAUCCAGGAAGCAUCUGCACGGAGGUUCUGUGCCUUGGCACAGCCAUAGCCUUGCAGAGGUGGGAGGGUUGGUGGUGCAUUCUGUGAGCGGUGGGUGUAUGGCUUUGGCCAUGCAUCAGUAUUCAAGCCCCGAUAGAUCUACACAAGAGAAGCAGAGUAAAACAGUGAGUUUCUGUUGGGAAUACGCACGCCUGUGAGAAAAGCAGCCCUACUGUGCUAGUGAUAACAGAGGAGCAAAGCACCCAGGGGAGCCUGGGGUUCAGCGAGGGUGCUGAAGCAUGUGGGGAGUGUGAGAUGGCUUUAGUGGCACGAAGACUUUCAUCAUCUGUCUGGGAAAUGCAUGAACAUUGCUUUGUUUCUGUUUGUGGCCGUGAGUUUCUUUCAGUUCUUGCUGCAUCUGUUUGAAUGGAACUUUUCAGCUAUCAAGAGGUUGAGCAGCUGCAGGUGCAAAGUGGGUGAGAAGGUGGGAGCGCAGGACGGCGUGGGGAGGGAUUGCUGGCAUUGCCACCACUGUUCCGCAAGGUCCUGUAGCCUAGAGCAGUCUCAGAGGACGCUCCCCUUGCUCAUGUAACUAGCAUACGUCCAUCAGCUGUUACUCACAUUACUACGUAUCUGUUAUGAUGUUAUUAACUGUGCACUAUAAAUACACAUGGUAUGCAGAGCACAGUACUAACGUUUCCAAAAGCUUUUAGGCAUUAUCCAGGGCUAAGAUCAGACUGUCUGAGAGACCAGAGAAAAGCAUUCAGAAAAUUUAUUUCUAGCAGUGGCUUCUCCUGCAGUACUGAGCGGGCAGUUUCAGAGGGGCUUCACCAGACAGGGAAUUUUUUGUCACAAGUUUCAUCAUUUGGGAUGAGAGGACCUGCUGUCUUUGUGGGGUAUUCUACAAAUUAAUUUGUUCAUAUGUGCAAAGAACUGUAAAGAGUCAAGUGGUACAUGGUAUUAAAUAUUCUGCAUAGUAGUUUUAUAGUUGCUUAUUCUUUUAGACAGAUCUCUUCGUCUCCGUUUCGUUUCAUGUGCCAUAACCAGUAAAUAUUUGUGAAUAUUUGGUGAUGUCCCUUUGAAAAAAAAAAGCUGGAGAAGAUUGCCAAGGAGCUUAGUGAACCAGUCAGGCAUUGCCUUUACCUUGAAAAGUGACCCAAGUGAAAGGAAAUGGCAUCACGUUAACUUUCCUUUUGGGGAUUUUGAUGGAUAUAAGGACCUAGAAACUUUGUAACAUCAAUUCACCUGAAAAUGCCUUUGGACUUACAGUAGGCCUGUUCUUUGGAAUAGUUGGCUGUUUUUAUUAUAGAGUGUAAAGUCAAAGGAGAAAAUAAAGGACAUGAAAGGGCCUUCUGGAGUUGAUAUAAUCUGUGUGAACUCGGUGAGUUUGGUGUUCCUUUAUUUUGCCUUAAAGAUCUUACACCCUCCAUUCCAAAUGAGUUCCUGAAGCACUGGGAUUAUACUAAAUCACCAUCACGUCUUAAAUCAAUGAGACUUUUGCCUCCAGUUCAUUUGGUGAAGGACAGAAAGUGAGGAUAUGUCUACAGCAGUAACUUAAUCUAAUAAAGAAAAGGAAAGCCUCAUGGGUAGAGAAAGCAACAGCUAUGUAUCACGGGAUAGCAUCCUGCCUUAGGAUCACUUGCAAAAAUAUUGUCUUCAGUAUGUGCUGCUAUCAAAGAUGUCACUUGCUUAUAAGAUCAUUGUAUGCCUGAACUGACAAUAAUCGAAGGAGCUGUUCUCAUGGCUGCAUUUUUGAAGUGCAGAGGCAAGAUCUAUAUAACUGACCUCAGUGUAGCUGUACACAGCAUAAGACAGACAGAAUGCAUCCUUUGGGAAUAAUAUACAGUAGGUAUGUGUAUGAAUCCUUCUGGCCAAGAUCAUUUCAUACCUUAUCUGAGGAACAGAUUGGCCGCUUUUUUUUCUAUUGCUGUAAGGUUUCUCAGCAAAUUAUUUGGAAGCUUAUACCAUUGUUAAAAAUGCUACUCAGGUUCGUGUUCUGUGUUUUCUGUGCUGCUUGAGAAAAUAUAACGAUAGUAACAAAGAUUUGCACUUAGGAUACACCUUUCCCAUGUUGUUCUUUGGAUACCUAGCGAAUGGGAGUAUAAGACUCACAAGCAUGUUCCCCUACCCUUGCCAUUACCAUCAUCUGAGUUAUAAAAUGAGGCAGACAACUGAUGUGUUGCUCUUGAUUUUAAUACAACUUCUUGCAGAAUUUUGUUAUCAAUAGUACAAAAAACUUGAGAAGAUGUUAGGAAAUGCUUGUCUCUAUUGGAUGCAUUCUUCAACACUGGUUACAAUCCUUGACUGGCCAACAUGGGGUGAAAUUUCCUGAUUCUUUGAGGACAAUUUAUUUUCCUCUGUGCUGUGGAUUACCCAUUUUCUCUGAGCAGGGUUUUCUCUGCUUGUAAGGCUGUAGCAUGUGUAACAUGAGCAAGGACACAUUUUGGUUAGUAUUACAGUAUUGGAGGACAUCAAAGCAGUAAAAGUUACACUGGGGUCAGAUCCUGGAAAUAGUUUGUUUUCAAGGCCCAAAUCCAUAUUCUAUCGGUGGUGCUGUGCUUUGCGCAUUUUUUACAAAGUUGCAAAUGAGGGAUGUGUUGAAAAAGCCACCUGUUGGAUCCAGAAUUUCCCGCCUUUUUUUUUUUCUUCCAUUAGAGCAUGGUAAAAUUUCAGUUGUGGUGGGAAAAGAGGAUGUGGGACAGAGUGUGGCUUCAAAAUACAGCCCAGCUCAUUUGUCAGCUGCUUUGUCAGUGCUUCCAGUUUUUAUAUUUAUCUUUGGAAAUAAGAUAUUCUUUAGAAACGUCAUUCCCUCAUGUGUAGUGCAGUGUGAAUUCUAUGUGCUCAGUGAUAAGCUAAAUAGCUGAUAACUGAAAAUUUAUUUUCAACAUACAUAAGUUGCUCCAAAAGU